AACUUUCAACAACGGAUCUCUUGGUUCUGGCAUCGAUGAAGAACGCAGCGAAAUGCGAUAAGUAAUGUGAAUUGCAGAAUUCAGUGAAUCAUCGAAUCUUUGAACGCACAUUGCGCCCCUGUGGUAUUGCCGCAGGGCAUGCCUGUUCGAGCGUCAGU
rnacentral:rRNA from 1 species